rnacentral:rRNA from 1 species
GACGAACGCUGGCGGCGUGCUUAACACAUGCAAGUCGAGCGGUAAGGCCCCUUCGGGGGUACACGAGCGGCGAACGGGUGAGUAACACGUGAGCAAUCUGCCCAUCACAUCGGGAUAACUCCGGGAAACCGAAGCUAAUACCGAAUACGACCACCUCCGGCAUCGGAUGGUGGUGGAAAGUUCCGGCGGUGAUGGAUGAGCUCGCGGCCUAUCAGCUUGUUGGUGGGGUAACGGCCCACCAAGGCUUCGCCGGGUAGCCGGCCUGAGAGGGUGACCGGCCACACUGGGACUGAGACACGGCCCAGACUCCUACGGGAGGCAGCAGUGGGGAAUAUUGGACAAUGGGCGAAAGCCUGAUCCAACAACGCCGCGUGAGGGAUGACGGCCUUCGGGUCGUAAACCUCUUUCAGCAGGGACGAAGCGCAAGUGACGGUACCUGCAGAAGAAGCACCGGCCAACUACGUG